rnacentral:rRNA from 1 species
GCGGCCGCUCCGUUUGAUCCCGGCGGAGGCCACUGCUAUCGGAGUUCGAUUAAGCCAUGCGAGUCGAGAGGUGCAAGACCUCGGCAUACUGCUCAGUAACACGUGGACAACCUACCCUAUGGAGGGGGAUAACCCCGGGAAACUGGGGAUAAUACCCCAUAGACUAUAGAUGCUGGAAUGCUUUGUAGUUGAAAGGUCCGCCGCCAUAGGAUGGGUCUGCGGCCGAUUAGGUUGUUGUUGGGGUAACGGCCCAACAAGCCUGUAAUCGGUACGGGUUGUGGGAGCAAGAGCCCGGAGAUGGAUUCUGAGACACGAAUCCAGGCCCUACGGGGCGCAGCAGGCGCGAAAACUUUACAAUGCGGGAAACCGUGAUAAGGGAACUCCGAGUGCCCGUAAAAUCGGGCUGUCCACCAGUUUAAAUAACUGGUGAAGAAAGGGCCGGGCAAGACCGGUGCCAGCCGCCGCGGUAAUACCGGCGGCUCGAGUGGUGGCCACUAUUACUGGGCUUAAAGCGUUCGUAGCUGGUCUGUUAAGUCUCUGGGGAAAUCUACUGGCUUAACCAAUAGGCGUCUCAGGGAUACUGGCAGACUAGGGACCGGGAGAGGUGAGAGGUACUCCAGGGGUAGGAGUGAAAUCCUGUAAUCCUUGGGGGGCCACCUGUGGCGAAGGCGUCUCACCAGAACGGCUCCGACAGUGAGGGACGAAAGCUGGGGGAGCAAACCGGAUUAGAUACCCGGGUAGUCCCAGCUGUAAACGAUGCGCGUUAGGUGUAUCGGUGACCACGAGUCACCGAGGUGCCGAAGAGAAAUCGUGAAACGUGCCGCCUGGGAAGUACGGUCGCAAGGCUGAAACUUAAAGGAAUUGGCGGGGGAGCACCACAACAGGUGGAGCUGCGGUUUAAUCGGACUCAACGCCGGAAAUCUCACCGGAUAAGACAGCUGGAUGAUAGUCGGGCUGAAGACUCUACUUGACUAGCUGAGAGGAGGUGCAUGGCCGUCGUCAGUUCGUACUGUGAAGCAUCCUGUUAAGUMAAGCAACGAGCGAGACCC